rnacentral:tRNA from 1 species
CAUUAAGAAGCUUUUAUAGCAUUAGCCUUUUAAGCUAAAGAUGAAAACAAUUUUCCUUAAUGA